rnacentral:rRNA from 1 species
GACGAACGCUGGCGGCGUGCUUAACACAUGCUAGUCGAGCGGAGCGGCGAACGGGUGAGUAACGCGUGAGUAACUUCCCCCCUCUCUGGGAUAACAGUUGGAACCGGCUGCUAAUACCGGAUAGUGGGGGAUGACUCGGUUCCUAUCGGCUUGUUGGUGGGGUAGUGGCCUACCAAGGCGACGACGGGUAGCCGGCCUGGGAGGGCGGCCGGCCACAUUGGGCUGAGAUACGGCCCAAGCUCUUACGGGGGGCAGCAGUGGGGAAUAUUGCACAAUGGGGGAAACCCUGAUGAAGCAACGCGCGUGUGGGAUGACUGCCUUCGGGUUGUAAGCCGCUUUCAGCCAUGACGCGGUAGUGGCAGAAGAAUCACCGGCUAACUACGUGCCAGCAGCCGCGGUAAUUC